UUUGACUUAAUUAAUACUUCCUCCGUUCAACGUUUGACCGUUCGUCUUAUUUAAAAUUUUUUUAUGAUUAGUAUUUUUAUUGCUAUUAGAUGAUAAAAAAUGAAUAUUACUUUAUGUGUGACUAAAUAUUUUUAAAUUUUUCAAAUAAGACGGACGGUCAAACGUGGGGUACGGAUAUCCACGAAUAUAUUUAUU
rfam:Oryza glaberrima chromosome 1 Oglab01_0203_1, whole genome shotgun sequence.